UACGUAGGGGGCUAGCGUUGUCCGGAUUUAUUGGGCGUAAAGAGCGUGUAGGCGGCCAGGUAGGUCUGCUGUGAAAACCCGAGGCUCAACCUCGGGCCUGCAGUGGGUACGGGCAGACUAGAGUGCGGUAGGGGAGAAUGGAAUUCCUGGUGUAGCGGUGGAAUGCGCAGAUAUCAGGAGGAACACCGAUGGCGAAGGCAGUUCUCUGGGCCGUAACUGACGCUGAGGAGCGAAAGCGUGGGGAGCGAACAGG
rnacentral:rRNA from 1 species